CUGAGAGGCGGGUGGCAGAGGGGCUGGUUUGGGGCCAUCUCCCUCAACUUCCAGAUCUGUUGUCUUGGGCCAAGGCAGAGCAGAAGCCAAUUCAGUGAUUUCAUCAGGAGGCCAGGCUGUGUCGAACUGGCAGGAUCCAGACACAUGGGAAAUCAGCGUUGGAUUCCAUGCAGAAAAUCAUACAGAGUUUGAUGUGCCCCAGAUGCAAGCAAACAAGUCUUCCAUCAAUGAGGAUCCUCCAGAAUUUGGUCGCCCCUCCUUCAAAGCUGGAGGAUGUCCCAAAUAAUAAUAGGCCAGGUCCUCAGCAUCUUCAUUCAGAAAGAUCAGACGCCUAACGCAUGUAGGUUCUGGAAGCUUUCCUCAACGGAUGACAACAUGGAUACGUAGCAGUUUAAAAACCACUCAAAGCAGCGAGUGUACAACACAGCCAACGAAGAGCCUGCUGUCCUGAGAUUUUUCACAAACCGCAGGAGGACUAAACAUCUGGAGUGAGCAGAUGGUUUUAAUAGCCACGGAGAGUACAUUUCAGCACACGCCUGCCAGCACUUAUUGGCGCACA